rnacentral:tRNA from 1 species
GGGCCUGUAGCUCAGUUGGUUAGAGCAUUCGACUCAUAAUCGAACGGUCGUAGGUUCGAGUCCUACCAGGCCCA